rnacentral:lncRNA from 1 species
UUCAUUUUACAUUAAAAAUUGCCCAACUGAACAUGUGAGAAAAUAUUUGGGAUAACUUUCUUAUAGGUGCAUGAAAGAUGAAAAAACAAAUCUUAAAAAUGAAUUCACUGGGCACAUCAGUUCAAUAGUUUAGGUAUGAUACUCGCAAAAUUGUACUUCCUCCGUCUCAAUUUAUAUGACACUAUUCGAAUUUUGACAUUCAGAUAAGUCUAUUUUUGCCGAUAUUUUUUC